AAGCCCCAGAGAGACAGAGACAGAGAGAGAGAGAGAGAGACAGAGGCGAUGGCGAGUACGGCGGCGGCGGUUCCAUUCUGGAGAGCGGCGGGGAUGACGUACAUCACCUACUCCAACAUCUGCGCGUCCCUCGUUCGGGGCUGCCUCAAGGAAUCCUACCGAUCAGAGGCCGCCGCCCGGGAGAAGGUUCACUUCGCAGUCUCCAAAUGGGCCAACGGCAAGCCCGAGAAGUCCUCGAUACGUUCAGAUUCACAUGCAGAAUAAGGGCUGAAGCUCUCUUCGGACUGGAUUGCUUGUCAAAUUCUCAUCCAAGUUCUUGUAGUGUCACCAGUAGCUGCUGGCAUUUUCCAGGUUGCAGGAAAUAAAAGUGUUUGAUCAAGUUGGUACAUCUGAAACCACUGGCCUUUGGGAAUUAACCAACUUUCAAUUUUAAUAUAAUAAGAUUUCAAUGUGCAA